rnacentral:lncRNA from 1 species
UUAUUCUACAGCUCCACACUGAAGUUAUCUUCAUGUAUUUUCAGACUGAAGUGUUAGAGGUCGUGUGAAAGUGAAAUGAAACAAUAUCUCCCCGUUUCUUUUAUGUUUUGUAGAGGGGUUUUCUCCACAUGGUGCUUGUGUUAAUUGGACUGUUCUUCCUGACCCUGACCCUGCUGACCUUUGCCCUCUCUGGCCUGAACCCCAAAGUGACAAACACGGCUCGUGUGAACCUCUGCAUCAGUCUGCUGCUGUCUCACCUCCUCGUCCUGCUCGUCCAGGAGUUCAUCCACCUCAUCCGCCCUCACAAGGUGUUGUGUAAAGGUCUGUCCAGCCUCCAGAACUUCCUGUUCCUGUGCGGCUUCUUCUGGGUGCACAUGGACACGCUGCUCCUCUUCGUCUCUGUCAAGAGCCUCAAGAAGACACUGAAGGAGGGGCUUAGCUGUGGCCACCUGUCCCUGAUUGGCUAUGGGUGUCCGUUGAUGACAGUGACUGUGGCUUUAGGCUUAGUGCCAUACGAAUAUGGCACUGAAUGGUGUGGCGUGAGAAUGCAAAACGGCUUGUCCUGGAGUCUGCUGGGUCCUGCAUACUUCGUGUUUGUUGCAAACCUGAUUCUCUUCCUCAUCACAGUCAUCAACCUUUGCCUACUGUCAUCAAAUGAAUCCUCUCGUCAGUUGG